CCUUGCAUUGAAGACUUGUGAUCGUCGACUUCAGUAAAGCAUCUCCAACAAUCAAUCUCAACCUUUUGAUGAAAUCUCCCCUGCUUAUCUUCUUUGCCUGGAAUAGUUCAUAAUGAGUAUUUAUACAUUCCAUUUCCUUGCGAGGAACUUUAUUUGAGAUUGCAGAAAACAACAUGGGGAAAGGCAUCCAAGGGGAUCUAGGAGUUCUUGUGCUGCUUGAACCAAGACUUGAAGCUUUUCCGAGAGAUCCCCCAGAUUUUGGUUGGCCUUCACUUCCCAGACCAGUCGCAGGAGAUUCCAUUUGUAGAUUCAAAUCAACUUUAGGAGAUUCUAAAGGCGGGUUUAGACCAACAGUAGAAGACUCGAUUGGCAAAAUCCACUGAGCACCUUGUGAAAAUGUGAUGCGGGAAACAGCAUUUUUCAUCUCAUUUCCUGCAAAGUUCCCCGCUUCAACAUUGGAAGAGACCAUGAAACUAACAACAAAUUCUGGGUAAAUAUGGGAAUUCAUAUUCAUAUUCCACACUAUAUACUGUCUUGGAUUUUGAAGAUCAUCGACACCACUAUCAAAAUUCUCACUACUGGGGUGACACUGUUGACUCCCAGGCUGAACAAGCUCCAUUUUUCCCAUUAUCACACGACAAAAUAACAUAUGUUGUACUCCAUUUUCGUCAACAUCACAAAAUUUUGCACUGGCUUGACAGCAGUUUGCUGCGAAGAGAUGAACACCAAUGCCAUAUUUAGACUUAGUUGUGGAUGGUCCACAAUGUCCAAGUCCAUACAACAUAAUUGUAGAUAGUAAUCCUUUAGACGAAGCAAGCCAAGCAUAUCGAACAUUUGC
rnacentral:misc_RNA from 1 species